GACGUAGGGCGCGAGCGUUGUCCGGAUUUAUUGGGCGUAAAGAGCUCGUAGGCGGCUUGUUGCGUCGACCGUGAAAACCCGGGGCUCAACUUCGGGCUUGCGGUCGAUACGGGCGGGCUAGAGUUCGGUAGGGGAGACUGGAAUUCCUGGUGUAGCGGUGAAAUGCGCAGAUAUCGGGAAGAACACCCGUGGCGAAGGCGGCUCUCUGGGACGGUACUGACACUGAGACGCGAAAGCGUGGGGAGCGAACAGG
rnacentral:rRNA from 1 species